CAGUCGCCACGGUAAUACGAAGGGGGCUAGCGUUGCUCGGGAUGACUGGGCGUAAAGGGCGCGUAGGCGGCGAUCAAAGUCAGGCGUGAAAUUCCUGGGCUCAACCUGGGGGCUGCGCUUGAUACUUGGUUGCUUGAGUGGGGAAGAGGGUCGUGGAAUUCCCAGUGUAGAGGUGAAAUUCGUAGAUAUUGGGAAGAACACCAGUGGCGAAGGCGGCUCACUGGACCGACACUGACGCUGAGGCGCGAAAGCGUGGGGAGCAAACAGGAUUAGAGACCCCUGUAGUCCCUGUCUCUUAUAC
rnacentral:rRNA from 1 species